rnacentral:rRNA from 1 species
AUUGAACGCUGGCGGCAUGCCUUACACAUGCAAGUCGAACGGCAGCGGGGGAGAAGCUUGCUUUUCCUGCCGGCGAGUGGCGAACGGGUGAGUAAUACAUCGGAACGUGCCCUGUAGUGGGGGAUAACUAGUCGAAAGAUUAGCUAAUACCGCAUACGAUCUAUGGAUGAAAGCGGGGGAUCGCAAGACCUCGCGCGAUUGGAGCGGGCGAUAUCAGAUUAGGUAGUUGGUGGGGUAAAGGCUAACCAAGCCGACGAUCUGUAGCUGGUCUGAGAGGACGACCAGCCACACUGGGACUGAGACACGGCCCAGACUCCUACGGGAGGCAGCAGUGGGGAAUUUUGGACAAUGGGCGAAAGCCUGAUCCAGCCAUGCCGCGUGCAGGAUGGAGGCCUUCGGGUUGUAAACUGCUUUUGUACGGAACGAAAAGGUUUGGCCUAAUAAGCUGAGCUCAUGACGGUACCGUAAGAAUAAACACCGGCUAACUACGUGCCAGCCGCCGCGGUAA